rnacentral:rRNA from 1 species
AACGAACGCUGGCGGCAUGCCUAACACAUGCAAGUCGAACGAGACCUUCGGUCUAGUGGCGCACGGGUGCGUAACGCGUGGGAAUCUGCCCCUUGGUUCGGAAUAACAGUUAGAAAUGACUGCUAAUACCGGAUGAUGACGAAAGUCCAAAGAUUUAUCGCCGAGGGAUGAGCCCGCGUAGGAUUAGCUAGUUGGUGAGGUAAAGGCUCACCAAGGCGACGAUCCUUAGCUGGUCUGAGAGGAUGAUCAGCCACACUGGGACUGAGACACGGCCCAGACUCCUACGGGAGGCAGCAGUGGGGAAUAUUGGACAAUGGGCGAAAGCCUGAUCCAGCAAUGCCGCGUGAGUGAUGAAGGCCUUAGGGUCGUAAAGCUCUUUUACCAGGGAUGAUAAUGACAGUACCUGGAGAAUAAGCUCCGGCUAACUCCGUG